ensembl:snoRNA
CGGAUCGGUGAUGACCACUGGAGUCGUAUGAGUCAUAGAUGAUGACUACAGCUCUCAGCGUCUGAGGUCCCA